UUCAUCAACAGAUGGCGCAUCAAUGUCCGUUUGUGACUUAAUACAAUAUUCUAAAGGAAAACUCUCCAAGAGAGACCAUAACCUCACUUGUUGUUAUGACACUUUUGCAGUGCAGCGUAAAAUAUACGUGUAUAAAUAGUACCUUCAAUAAAUUGUGUAUUCUGUCUAAAUAGCAACUGCAGUGCACAGUGACAAAAGUAUCAGAAAAAUAACCAAGUAAUGUCAUUGGGGCAUUAUCAAACAUAAGUAUUCAUGAUAUAUGCAACAUUACGGUAAAAUUAACAACAGACAGUUAUCAAUAUUAAUAUAUAAAAGCAUAAGUUUCUGCAAUAAUUGUUAUUAUUAUUAAGGGAGAGGUUCCCUCAUAUUCUCAUAUGAUUUCAUAUAUUCUACGAGGAACAACAAUGUAUAGAGAGAAUCUCUCAAGGCUAUCAUAUGAAAACUUCAAUAUCAGCCACAAAGAAGCACUCGCAACCAUAAAAGAAUGUCACGCAGACCUACACAUAUCAUGACGGCCAAAAUGAAUGAAAAGAAUACAGUAACGCAAGUAUCAGUAAGAUACCCAAGUAAUGUCAUUGGGACAUUAUCAAACAUAAGUAUUCAUGAUAUAUGCAAAUUGCGGAACAACAAUGUAUGAAGAGAAUCUCCCAAGGCUACCAUAAUAUGAAAAUAUGAAAAACUUCAACAUCAGUCAAAGAGGCACACGCAACCAUAAAGAAUGUCACGCAGACCUACACAUAUCAUGACGCAAGAGUUUAUAGUCUCUCUAAUUUAACAGGAAUGAGUAAAGUUAUAGGUUGCCAUUAUCAAUCUUACAAUAUCACAUAAGGCCAAAAUGAAUGAGAAAGUCAUAAAGUUCAAAGUUCAUAAUUCAACUGACAAGGCAACCGCACAACUUCAGAGCAGAAAAUAAAUGCCUCGAUGAUGAAGACUCCACAUAAUACUCAUAAUCUGUGAUCUAAUCCCAAAGGACACAGCAUGUUCCAUACAUACUGGGCAUCAAAACCUCUGAGACAAGAUGCAUCAAUGGAGCCAUUAUUCACCCUCAGAUGACAAUAUACACAAGCAGAUCCAAUUGUCAUAUGUGUCAAUUAUUAAUUAUUGUCUACUCACUUAGUGAAAUUUCAACAUAUAUCAUAUGAUAGUAUAUUCCACUAAUUAUUCAUAAACGACUAGCAAAUUCAA